rnacentral:rRNA from 1 species
GACGAACGCUGGCGGCGUGCUUAGCACAUGCAAGUCGAGCGGAAAGGCUCCUUCGGGGGUACUCGAGCGGCGAACGGGUAAGUAACACGUGAGUAAUCUGCCCUGCGCUCUGGGAUAGCCACCGGAAACGGUGAUUAAUACCGGAUAUGACCGCUACACGCAUGUGUUGGUGGUGGAAAGUUUUUCGGCGCAGGAUGUGCCCGCGGCCUAUCAGCUUGUUGGUGAGGUAAUGGCUCACCAAGGCUUUGACGGGUAGCCGGCCUGAGAGGGUGGCCGGUCACACUGGGACUGAGACACGGCCCAGACUCCUACGGGAGGCAGCAGUGGGGAAUAUUGGACAAUGGGCGGAAGCCUGAUCCAGCAACGCCGCGUGAGGGAUGACGGCCUUCGGGUUGUAAACCUCUUUCAGUACCGACGAAGCGAAAGUGACGGUAGGUACAGAAGAAGGACCGGCCAACUACGUGCCAGCCGCCGCCGUAAGAC